rnacentral:rRNA from 1 species
AGUUGGUUAGUCAGUACGAGCGCAACCCUUAUCUUUAUUUGCCAGCGCGUAAUGGCGGGAACUAUAGAGAGACUGCCGGUCAAAAACCGGAGGAAGGCGGGGACGAGGUCAAGUCAUCAUGGCCCUUAUAGGUUGGGCUACACACGUGCUACAAUGGGAUGUACAGAGGGUUGCGAAAGCGCGAGCUGGAGCCAAACCCUUAAAGCAUUUCGUAGUCCGGAUUGGAGUCUGCAACUCGACUCCAUGAAGUCGGAAUCACUAGUAAUCGCGAAUCAGAAUGUCGCGGUGAAUACGUUCUCGGGCCUUGUACACACCGCCCGUCACAUCAUGGAAGUGGGUUGCACCAGAAGUGGUUAGUCUAACCUUCGGGAAGACGAUCACCACGGUGUGAUUCAUGACUGGGAUGAAGUCGUAACAAGGUAGCCCUAGGGGAACCUGGGGCUGGAUCACCUCCUU